rnacentral:rRNA from 1 species
UCAGGCCUACGGGGGGCAGCAGUGAGGAAUAUUGGUCAAUGGGCGCGAGCCUGAACCAGCCAAGUCGCGUGAGGGAAGACGGUCCUAUGGAUUGUAAACCUCUUUUGUCGGGGAGCAAAAGACGCCACGUGUGGCGUUCCGAGAGUACCCGAAGAAAAAGCAUCGGCUAACUCCGUGCCAGCAGCCGCGGUAAUACGGAGGAUGCGAGCGUUAUCCGGAUUUAUUGGGUUUAAAGGGUGCGCAGGCGGAAGAUCAAGUCAGCGGUAAAAUUUCGGGGCUCAACCCCGACAAGCCGUUGAAACUGG